AGAGUUUGAUCCUGGCUCAGGAUGAACGCUAGCUACAGGCUUAACACAUGCAAGUCGAGGGGCAGCAUGGUCUUAGCUUGCUAAGGCUGAUGGCGACCGGCGCACGGGUGAGUAACACGUAUCCAACCUGCCGUCUACUCUUGGCCAGCCUUCUGAAAGGAAGAUUAAUCCAGGAUGGGAUCAUGAGUUCACAUGUCCGCAUGAUUAAAGGUAUUUUCCGGUAGACGAUGGGGAUGCGUUCCAUUAGAUAGUAGGCGGGGUAACGGCCCACCUAGUCAACGAUGGAUAGGGGUUCUGAGAGGAAGGUCCCCCACAUUGGAACUGAGACACGGUCCAAACUCCUACGGGAGGCAGCAGUGAGGAAUAUUGGUCAAUGGGCGAUGGCCUGAACCAGCCAAGUAGCGUGAAGGAUGACUGCCCUAUGGGUUGUAAACUUCUUUUAUAAAGGAAUAAAGUCGGGUAUGCAUACCCGUUUGCAUGUACUUUAUGAAUAAGGAUCGGCUAACUCCGUGCCAGCAGCCGCGGUAAUACGGAGGAUCCGAGCGUUAUCCGGAUUUAUUGGGUUUAAAGGGAGCGUAGAUGGAUGUUUAAGUCAGUUGUGAAAGUUUGCGGCUCAACCGUAAAAUUGCAGUUGAUACUGGAUGUCUUGAGUGCAGUUGAGGCAGGCGGAAUUCGUGGUGUAGCGGUGAAAUGCUUAGAUAUCACGAAGAACUCCGAUUGCGAAGGCAGCCUGCUAAGCUGCAACUGACAUUGAGGCUCGAAAGUGUGGGUAUCAAACAGGAUUAGAUACCCUGGUAGUCCACACGGUAAACGAUGAAUACUCGCUGUUUGCGAUAUACGGCAAGCGGCCAAGCGAAAGCGUUAAGUAUUCCACCUGGGGAGUACGCCGGCAACGGUGAAACUCAAAGGAAUUGACGGGGGCCCGCACAAGCGGAGGAACAUGUGGUUUAAUUCGAUGAUACGCGAGGAACCUUACCCGGGCUUAAAUUGCACUCGAAUGAUCCGGAAACGGUUCAGCUAGCAAUAGCGAGUGUGAAGGUGCUGCAUGGUUGUCGUCAGCUCGUGCCGUGAGGUGUCGGCUUAAGUGCCAUAACGAGCGCAACCCUUGUUGUCAGUUACUAACAGGUGAUGCUGAGGACUCUGACAAGACUGCCAUCGUAAGAUGUGAGGAAGGUGGGGAUGACGUCAAAUCAGCACGGCCCUUACGUCCGGGGCUACACAC
rnacentral:rRNA from 1 species